rnacentral:rRNA from 1 species
AUUGAACGCUGGCGGCAUGCCUUACACAUGCAAGUCGAACGGCAGCACGGGGCAACCUGGUGGCGAGUGGCGAACGGGUGAGUAAUGCAUCGGAACGUACCUUUCAGUGGGGGAUAACGUAGCGAAAGUUACGCUAAUACCGCAUAUUCUGUGAGCAGGAAAGCAGGGGAUCGCAAGACCUUGCGCUGAUUGAGCGGCCGAUGUCAGAUUAGCUAGUUGGUGAGGUAAAGGCUCACCAAGGCGACGAUCUGUAGCGGGUCUGAGAGGAUGAUCCGCCACACUGGGACUGAGACACGGUCCAGACUCCUAAGGGAGGCAGCAGUGGUGAAUUUUGGACAAUGGGGGCAACCCUGAUCCAGCCAUGCCGCGUGAGUGAAGAAGGCCUUCGGGUUGUAAAGCUCUUUCGGCCGGGAAGAAAUCGCACGGGCUAAUACCCUGUGUGGAUGACGGUACCGGAAUAAGAAGCACCGGCUAACUACGUGCCAGCCGCCGCCGCAG